ACCUACGGGGGGCAGCAGUGGGGGAUAUUGCACAAUGGGGGGAACCCUGAUGCAGCGACGCCGCGUGGGUGAAGAAGCGCCUCGGCGCGUAAAGCCCUGUCAGCAGGGAAGAAAAUGACGGUACCUGAAGAAGAAGCCCCGGCUAACUACGUGCCAGCAGCCGCGGUAAUACGUAGGUGGCAAGCGUUGUCCGGAAUUACUGGGUGUAAAGGGAGCGUAGGCGGUUAUGCAAGUUGAAUGUGAAAUCUAUCGGCUCAACUGAUAGUCUGCGUUCAAAAC
rnacentral:rRNA from 1 species